CUGGUAAAUAGUGGGCCAGCUGUCUUAUGGGCUGCUGCUCCAGAGGCCUAAACGGAGCCCUAUGGUUAACUGGGCCCAUUCCAGGCUUCGCUAAAGAGGUCCAGUGUUUCGCCUCGCUGAAGCUGAAGCGGGGAGCGACCGCGCCCAUCCAGUCCCGAUGGGUCGCUCGAUUGGAUCGACCGGAAGUGCGGGAGGCAUCGAUGCGCGCGUUGGGAUCGACCAGAGGAUCUGGCUCCAGCUGAUGCGCUCCAGCGCGCGAUUGGAUGCGAGGUGCGCAAGGGGAUCAACGGAGGCGGACAAUGCGGGUGAAGAAAGGUGGGGGCGAGGGCGAGGCGGUGGCACGAGCAUGGAAUCAUCUCCUGUCGAUUCGAGUUCGUUUGUCGGGAUUCCGUAAUUAAAUCGCAGUUUCUACUACAUGCCAUUACUGGUAAUGGUAUGCGCCGCUCGAGUCCUCCAGUAAUUGCAGGUUUUUAAGCUCGUUGGAACUUGCUUACGGUGGGUUUGCUCUUUGCUGGUUCUGCUUGAUUGCAAGGUGAAGCACUGCUUUCAAGUUGAUGAUUUGUGGGCUGAG